GAUGAACGCUGGCGGCGUGCCUAAUACAUGCAAGUCGAGCGAACAGACGAGGAGCUUGCUCCUCUGACGUUAGCGGCGGACGGGUGAGUAACACGUGGAUAACCUACCUAUAAGACUGGGAUAACUUCGGGAAACCGGAGCUAAUACCGGAUAAUAUAUUGAACCGCAUGGUUCAAUAGUGAAAGACGGUUUUGCUGUCACUUAUAGAUGGAUCCGCGCCGCAUUAGCUAGUUGGUAAGGUAACGGCUUACCAAGGCAACGAUGCGUAGCCGACCUGAGAGGGUGAUCGGCCACAGUGGAGCUGAGACACGGUCCAGGCUCCGACGGGAGGCAGCAGUAGGGAAUCUUCCGCAAUGGGCGAAAGCCUGACGGAGCAACGCCGCGUGAGUGAUGAAGGUCUUCGGAUCGUAAAACUCUGUUAUUAGGGAAGAACAAAUGUGUAAGUAACUAUGCACGUCUUGACGGUACCUAAGCAGAAAGCCACGGCUAACUACGU
rnacentral:rRNA from 1 species